rnacentral:misc_RNA from 1 species
AGGGUAUCGCAGAUCCACGGGUAGCGGGCCGCUGCUGGCUCGGCAUGGCGGCGCCCUCCAGAGACUGUGCUUCGCGUCCCUCAUUGGAUGCAGGCAUAUUUUUCCCCGAAGGCAGUCGACCCCCGCAGCCGCUUCACGGCCACGGCUUUCUGCUGCACGGCGCCCGGGCAGUGGGCAAGACGUCUCUUGCCUUCCAGGCAGCCAUCAACACCGUCCAGCGUGCCGGCGGUAGCGUAGUAGUGCUGUGCCAGGAAUCUACGCUGUACGCCAAGGUGCCGCAGCCCUUCACUCCACUGAGCUCCUUGUCCGAGUCGGCCCUCGGCCACAUCGAGUUCAUCUAUGUGGAGGGCUGGACGGCGGCGCUGCGGGAGAUGAUGGGAUUUCGCACGACUCGAGCAGUGCCGGCGCUAUUGAUCGUUGAUGACGACGGCUUCGAGGUGACGGUGCCGGCAGAUGGCCGCGGCAAGCGGUCUGGGCAGUACCUAGACUUCCUCGUCGCUACCGCUGCCGCCUCGUGUCUCUCCUAUUUGGAAAACCUCCAUGACUGGAUGACCCGCCACGAUCGCCCUUUCUUCUAUAUCCUCGUCACAAACCACCUUCCGGAAUCCGCGACGCAGCUGUCGCUUCCCUACGCGGCCUUUCCGCUCGUGAACGUGUGGGUUGGCGCGUCGGGGACGGUGCAGAUCACCACAACCCAAGCCGGUGGCACAGCAGAGGUGGUGUCCCCGCCUGCGUAUCUUACGUGGCAGAAUGGGCUGCGCAUGAGGGGCUGACGUAUUACAGGUGUUGUGUGCUGUGGGCUGUUGUGUGGCAUUGACGAAGGUGUGCUGGGCCUCUCACGCUUGCGCUACCGCUGCUUCUGCUGUUCCUCUUCCUCCUCUUCUUGCCCUUACUGGAAGAUUUAUCAUAC